ACACGACUCUCGGCAAUGGAUAUCUCGGCUCUCGCAUCGAUGAAGAGCGCAGCGAAAUGCGAUAUGUGGUGCGAAUUGCAGAAUCCCGCGAACCAUCGAGUCUUUGAACGCAAGUUGCGCCCAACGCCAACCGGCUAAGGGCACGUCCGCCUGGGCGUCAAGC
rnacentral:rRNA from 1 species